UGUUAUCUUCUUCAUUCAAAUAAUAUGUAAACUCUUCUCGAAUGUAAAACGAACGAUCUACUUUGAAGAGUAACCCAAAUAUGGCUCUGUGUAUUCGGUUGAAUAGCCAAUUAUUUCAAAUCAAGUUGAGCGGGUCUGCAUCGUUAUUCUGACGAAGUUUGCAACCAGUAGUAAUUUUUUGAAACCUCAUCUAGAUUUAAGAAGAUUCUUGCCUUGACAACUGCUCGAACUCCCGGAUUGGCAUGUGCAGGAGAAGCAUGAGAAGAAUGCCUGCAUGGGAAGAAAAGUUUUGGACUCUGAAAAAGGAGGUGUGACAAAAACAUUUUGACAGUUGUUGAUUUCCACUGAAACCAAUAUCCAAAAGAAAGAGGAACACAGUUUUAUGUUGAUUCACAUCUUUAAAUUCAAGAAUGUUCAGUUGGUUUUAUUAUGAAACAUGUCACGUGCAUAAAACAUAUUCGUGAAAUGUACUCUGUCUUUGAUGUGUGUGUGAUUUGCAGGAUAGGAUGUGGGCAACAUAUACUGUCAAGAAUCUUGAUGUUUCUGAUUUUAUGUUUGUAAAAAAAAAUGUUUUGUAUUGUAAUAAACAAAGUUAAAGUCAA